UGCGUGUCGAUUUGGGGGACAGUUUAAUAAACUGCCACACAACACAGCUGAGCUUCACACAGCCAUGAGGAUGGGGACAGCCAUUCCUUGGGUUUCUGAAUAACGUAUCAAGUGAGCAGUGAAUUUCAAUCAAGCUUGUACAUCAGGACCGUCUUGCCAAAACAACAGUUGCUUUUGGCUGCUGGAAGCUGUAGCUUUUCAAAACGUUCACACUUUUCAAUGUAUCGUCGAUGUUUUUAAAUAGACUUACAGGGAGGGUGGCACACAGCAAAGGCCCGCAGGGACAAAGGAGGAGACGUAGCCACCAGCUUCCAGGCCAUCCAGGGCCCCGGGUCGCCUUGGGAUCCGGACCCGGUACAGGCCAUUCAGGGCU
rnacentral:antisense_RNA from 1 species